rnacentral:rRNA from 1 species
ACAGUGUCAUAAUAUUAAUUCAACCUAGUAUGAGAGGACGAGAGGAACCGUUAAUUCGCACAAUUGGUCAUCGCGCUUGGUUGAAAAGCUAGUGGCGUGAAGCUACUAUGUGUUGGAUUAUAACUGAAUGCCUCUAAGUCAGAAUCUGGGCUAGAAGCGACGCAUGCGCCCGCCGUCCAAUUGCCGACCUGCAGUAAGGGCCUCGGCCCUCAAAGGCUCACGUCAAUGGUCAAGUCAUCACGGCAGAUGAGUCGUGGUGGCCGCCUUGAAUUAUAAAUUUCACCGUGCGGCAGGUAGAAUUCUUUGCAGAUGACUUAAGUAUGUGACGGGGUAUUGUAAGUGGCAGAGUGGCCUUGUUGCCAUGAUACAUUGAGAUUCAGCUCUGCGUCACUUUGAUUU